rnacentral:rRNA from 1 species
CACUGGGACUUUGAGUCCCCUAAAGGGUCGUUGGAGACUACAACGUUGAUAGGUCAGGUGUGUAAGUCCUGUGAGGGAUUGAGCUAACUGAUACUAAUUGCCCGUGAGGCUUAACCAUACAACACCCAAGCGGUU